CUUCUGUUCGGACCACCACCCAGGACAAUGGAUCUGAUCCCAGUAGGUGACCCAAAACAACGGUGACGCAGAAGGGGCAGACGGAGCGGUCUUCUGGUCAGGCUCCGUAGACGGGCACAUCGCUCACCGCUCCCGAGUAUACUACUCGCCAAUGUCCAGUCUCUUGACAACAAGGAUUCUCUUGUGGAUUCUCUUGAGGUUCCUAGGGUCUUCACCGAGGUGUCGCCCAUCUUCCCCACUUAUCCCCUGGGUCUUGCUUGCCAAGUCAACCAGCAGUUUUUGCUCAACUCCUGGUUUUCCCGUCUCUCUUUUUCCUCGUCCUCCUGGUUUUGACCCUUGCCGGUCCUGACUCUGAGCCCGUCUGCCUGACCACUCGGCCUGCCCCUGACCUCGAGCCUGCCUGCCGCCCUGUACCGUUUUGGACUCUUGAACGCUUGA
rnacentral:lncRNA from 1 species